ACCUGCCUGGCUUAGUUGGUAGAGCAUGCGACUCUUGAUCUCAGGGUCGUGAGUUCAAACCCCAUGUGGGUU
rnacentral:tRNA from 1 species